rnacentral:rRNA from 1 species
GUCUACGGCCAUACCACCCUGAACGCACCCGAUCUCGUCUGAUCUCAGAAGCUAAGCAGGGUCGGGCCUGGUUAGUACUUAGAUGGGAGAAUUGAAAGUCAUGAUAAUCAUAUAUG